AAUAAGCCCUAGGGUGUCUUCUUGAGGAAAAAUAAAUAUGAGACCCUGUCUUAUCAUCGGGGAAACACGGUAGUGUGCUAGUGUGCUCAGCAAUUACAUACACUACUUUAUUUAACCAUAACUAAAACCCUAUGAGAUUAGUUUUAUUAUCCCCAUUUUACAGAUGAGGCAGCAAGCCCAAAGCUCUAUUGCUAGCAAGUAGUAGAGCCAGGAUUUAAGACUAAGUGUACCUGACUCCAAAGCUGUUUUUUGUUUUUUUCUUUAAAAACAUUUUGUUUCCUUUAUUUCUACUGUGACACCUGAAGGACUUGCCAUUUUUUUGAGCCACAUAGUGCUAUCUAGGUAGUUACAGCCUCUGCUAACUUAGAGCUUAUGUUUUAGAUAAUCAAAUGAACAAUUAUUUAUUGUGAGGAGGGAUUAUUUCAUUCCUUUAUUAGAAUACACAACACAAUUAUAACUGCAUUUAACUUUUGUAUUUUUUGUUGCUGUUAUUUUAGCUUUUAUGUGUCAUUGCUGUUGUUAUGCUAACUAUGGAGUCAUCCCAAAUUACUUUUAAAUUUGUUGUUUAUCUUCUGUGGCCUGCCUACGAGGCAUUCUACAUACAGUACAAUUCUUAGUGCGAAACAAAUUCAGAGUUUAAAGCCUUCACAAAGCAACUAAGUCAUAUAUUGUGGAUUGGAACUCUGGCCCAUCUUAUACCAAGCUCCUUUUUACUGGCAAAGUCCAGAGUUUACUUUUGAAAAAAACAUGGAAAAUAGUGUUUCAUUAAAUCUAAACUGUAAGCUUUA